UUGGAGAGAGAAAGAGAAGAAGAAGAAAAAGAAGAGAGACAAGAGUGCGGAGAACACGACACAACCAUCUUCAAUCUUGAAAGCUUGAAAUUCCAAUGAACAAUCCGAUGAAAACCUAAAAAGGGGGCAAGUUUCAUUGUAUCUGAAAACGUAAAAUCAGAAUUCCCUAUUAAAAAAAAAUUAAUAGAACCCUAAACAAAAAUUUUGAUCUAAAUAUAUUCCUGAAUCAAUAUAAUAGGUCAAUUGCAAGAUUCGACUUUUAUCUCUCUUCUCUAUGAGGUUCAUUUCUGAUUUUUCUUCAAUUUAAUUGCUUUAAUUUUAAUGAAGUUUCACAAAUCAUAAGCAUGAAUUUGCUCCAAAUCACAUGAUCAAAACACCAGGUAAAUGAUGAUGCUCGUACUGGAUGGACGAUGAACAAAACCAUUUCAUGUAGAAGAGAGAAAGGCCACAAAGCUUUUGGGGGAAAUUGGAAUUAGAGAGACACACGUGACUCUUUUAAUUUUGGGUUCCUAAACUUUCAAAGCGUUGAAGAUAGAAAUUGAAGAUCCAGGGUUCAUUGGCUCUUGGAAACAUGGAGGCUGAAGAAGGAAAUGAUACUAUAAUUUUGGAUAACACUGAAUCUACUCAACAAGCAGCUGCUAAGCUCCCCCCUUACCCACUACUAGGUGUAGGAGACCUAAUGCCAAUGGUAAUAGGAGAACAUCUCUCGUUUGGCUUGAUUUUAUCCAUUAUCCAAUGAACCAGAACCUACAGCCGCUUGUAAACACUGCCAUAAAAGAUAUCAUUGUGAUUCUAAAUUAAAUGGGACGUCCAACAUGUUAGCACACUCUAGAGUCUGCCUUAAGAAACCAGAGAACAUGCUAAAUGACCCUAGGCAAACAAAUCUUAUAAAUGGGAAGGGUGGUUUUCUAGUUUCAAGUAGCCAAAGGUACAUGCAAAAGAUUGUAGGGAUGCCGUAACCAACUUUGUUAACCUUGACGAACAUGCCCAUGCCAUUAGAGAAGUAGAGAAUGAAGAGUUAUGAAGUAUUAUCUAUGGCAUGUCCCUUUGGAGUUUAUCAUAAAUGGUUGCUGCAAUUUAAGUGGGAUACUGGAUGUUAUAGACUUCUAGGGCUGCAGUUCAGCAUCAACUACAACAUCAUUCUCCAUGAUUCGCCAUGUUGUAGCAUCAGCAAUUGUAAGCAGCCUGUGCUUUUAAAGCCAGUGGAAUUUAUUUCAUCUUUUACUCAAAUAUAUUGGAUGACUGUAAUAUAUUAUAAUACUUAUAUUGUUGAUACCGUUGGACAACUGUAAUAUUUACUAAUAUUGGUUGUAUUGUGCUUGUUUGCUGUAGUCAAUGCAAACAAGUUAUAUAAUUUAUAUUUGGAACAAGUUUACAAAUGGUGUCGGCGCAAACAAGUUCUAUGUAAUAUAUUGUGGCAUAAAAAUUGCUCUUAAUUUUUACUUAAACUGAAAACUGAUAGACCAUAAAGAUUAAUGUGA